UCCCCUUUCUGGAACCACAUGAAUCACAGCGCCUUUGUUCCCUCCAAAGCUCACCACUCAUCAUCGCGAAGAACCCUCGCUCAUCACCCAGUCACCACUCACCGCCAGUCACCACCCACCACUCACCACAUCGCUGCGCCGCUCACCAGCUCACCACUCACCAGCUCACACUCUCAUCCUCACUCAACACACACACAAAAGAGGAAAAAAAAUCAGAAAAGUAGAGAACGGGAAGAAGAAGAGAAGAAGAGAGGAGAGGGAAAGGAAGGAGAGGAUGAUGCCGGCUAGGGCUCCGCCGCGUGGACCAUCGUCGUUGCGUGCACUGACCGUCGCCUCAGCAUCGCCAUCUCGUGCACUCACCGUCACCGCUCAGCAUCAUCAUCGCGUGUGCUCACUGUCGCUGCUCAGCAUCGUCGUCGUCGCUCAGCAUCGUCAUUGCCACUCACCUGAGAAGUAUUUUUUAUAGCUGAUGAAGGUGCCACGAGUAGAGUCAAAGUUAAGAGUAUUCUCUUUCAAGAUUCAAUUUCUGUCUCAGGUUACAGAAUUUAAGAAGAGUUUAAAAAAUGUGAACUCUGCUUGUGAAGAGGUCCGAAAGUCUGUCAAGCUGAAGAUCAUGAAGAAAAUUCUUUUUUUUGGGUAAUACAUUAAAUCAAGGAACAGCUAGGGGUUCUAGCUGAUAGGUCGCCUGGACUGCUUGACUUCCACUUAGACCUUGUAAGCCUGGAAGCUGCGACUAAGGAUAAUAUUGAGGAUGAUGAUAAUGAAGAUUAAGUUGAUUAUUAUUGUGGUUUAUUGGCUAAGAUAGAGUAGUGUUGGGAAUGGAUACAUGUAUAGUUGACUAAUAACUUUUAUUAGAAGAUACUUAUGUAGGAUAUAAUGUUUUAAUUUUUUAUAGAGUAUUAGUAGUAAAUUCUAAGUGAUAUCAUAGUUAUUUUGAUAUGGCUAUGUUUAUUUUAAUAUGAGAUGUAUGAAUCUUUAAAAUUAACAUUAUUCUAGUACUUUUGGAUCAUUAUUAUAAAUAUAUUUUGGUUACA